rnacentral:lncRNA from 1 species
AAAACAUCUCAGCAGCCAAGAGCCUCCGUGUAAUCAGAAUGAGAACAUUCUGCGCAGGUCACGGGAUGUUGCUGACGUGACAGGACCAGUGAUUCUGCAGAUUGUUUCAGCCAUGGCAGGAUGGGCACUGGGCACUGUGGGUCCCGGGGCUGAUUGCUAAAGGUGGAAUGAAAGGUGAUGUGGAAAGGAAAUUUGAGGUUAUCUGAGACCAAGAGAGUGUGGAUUUUCCCACUUAGCUUUGGCCUGACCAUGACCUUGGGCCUUGACAAAAAUGGUAGAGGAGGUGGAGUGAGAAGAAAAGAAAUCACGGAAGAAAAAGGCUGCAGUUUGGUUGGCAGGAUCUGGCAAAUCUUUACUGAACUUCUUCAGGGAGUCUCUUUGUAGACAAUUGUUCUUGAAGGAGUCACUUGUCCUGAAACUUAUGCCUAGGGAGCCAGGACAAGCCCGCACAGCCCUGCCCCACACACCAGGAAGCUCUCAGUGCAUACACUGCCAGGCGUAUCCAGAACGCAGGGGUUGCAGCAAAGCAACUGGCGCUUCAGGCCAAGUGAAUCCCAGCAUUCAGCUGUGCUCUCCAAAAACAGAUGUCGAUGUCAGAGACAGAAGAAAGAGUAGGCAACAGGCUCUAAGUCUGGAUUGGGCUACCGGAAAGUGCUCAGGGAGGUGAAAGAGAGAAAUGUGUGGAAUGAUUUUCUAAGUGUCUACGGCUGCACCCACAGCUCUACCUACCCCUCAUAUUGAGGGAAGCCAUGGAAACUAUGGCGUGGUUUCUAUGUGGGGAAAACCUGCUUUAUUAUGUUGUAUUCAGAAUUUUUGAAAAUUCUGUUAGUGAUUAUUAUUACUGAUUUUUCCAUUGUUAUAGUUAUCAUUGUUGUUAACAUGGUCAGAAUUCCAUUAUGGAAUCAGAUUAUUUAUUUAAAUAUUUAUUCAUGUCAAAUUUUAUGUCUCAUUUCCUUGGGGCACUACUGCUAGGCUUCAGGACAAGUCAUAUUCUAAUUUGUCUUCUAUAAAGACUCCUUUGGGUUCUGCUUCUCAGACAACCACUUCUCCAGUGAGUUGUUCUGUUUUUCUCCAUCUCUUUACCUCCAUGUUACCCCAAAUGACAGAAAAGAAAAAGAACAACUCUCACUACUAGUAAGAUCCACCCCAAGCCUACUCUCACACAAAAUAUUUCAAUUUAGGGCCCAGGGAGCCACACCCAAUACACAGGGCUACGAAGCUGUCCAAGAUUCACUGCAAGUGUCCGGGAUGAGAACAGCAGUCAUAUUUUCUGGUAUCCGGUAUUCCGUAAUGUCAGGGCAAGCUUUGCAAUAGCAGAGAGGUGGCUGUGGAACAGGGGCGAGGGACAGGUUGCUAAAGGAAAUUGGCAGGUAGAUGAAUGAGAUAAACCACAAGGUUUUCCCACAUCUGUCUCUCAGCCAGCCUCCAGGAGUGGUUUCUGCAUGGAAUGUAAUCAGGAGGAAGAAUCCAGAUAGGUGCCUGGACCUUCUAGCAGCUUUUCAUCAAUGUUUUCCCAUUUUAGGGGUGGCAAGCUCAUAAUUACCUGUCUUCAGCUUUCUGCUAGUAUUCAGGGCAGGGCAGCAGGAAAAUUGAUUGAAGGAUGUGAAACACGGUGUCCUAUUUCAAACAUGGAUUAUCCUAAUACAACACAGACACUGUAAGGGAAAGAAGACUAUUUGUCGCAGAAACUGAUUUUUAACAACUGUGGAAGGGAUCUUCCAAAGCCUGUAUGGACUUUCUUUGCAGGAAAUGACACCAGUUCAGGUUGGAGAGGACUGACAGCAGCCUUUCCAAAGGGCCUUCAUCCUAUUCAGGUCCUCUCAGGGUGUCUUAGAGAGACAUGGAGGCAGCAUGGCUGGUUUUCCUUUCCCCAUGGCAGACACCAAGGCAAAGGCAGGAGUGAAUACAAUUUCUCUAUCUUUCAUUCAAAUGGAAGAAUCAUCAGGCAUGAAAAAGGCCUCCAGGUUCAAAGUGAUGAGAAGGUAGAUCUUUCAUGGAAUUUUCUUUUAUUUUCUAAGAUCUAUGGCCAUAAACAAUGGUCUGAUACAAGCAGGGACAUCGAGAUCAUUUCCAAACAAGGUCUCCCUUCCCCUUCUCCUGUUCAGUUGUUUACCCCCCUCCAGUACAUCCCGCCCCUUCUCCUCCGGCCUCUUGUCCACGAGCUCACCCUCCCACAUGGGGGUCCAUUGUUGUGGGUCCUGGACCUGCAGAGGCUGCUCUAACUCCAGUUACACCCUGAGCAGCUCCACCCACGCCUGGCUCACUGAAGACACAGGCUGAGCCUCUGUUCCCUAACUUGUAGCUGUUUGCAGCACUGUCUUUGUUCCUUUCUGCGUCCUCUGCUCUCUCAUCUCUUGCUCUCUGGACUAAAACUUGGACCUGCCUCAUUCCCAUGUUCUCCUGUGAUUUUUUAGUUUCCUCCUGGGAGAGAUGCCUAAACAAGCUUUGUGGAUAAGGAGCAGUGAGCUGCCUUUGAGGGGCUGGAAGAAUCCCAUGAUCUGCAUGUAAGAAAGCUCCAACCAGCUCUGCGAGUCAGUGAUUUGCCUGUCAUGCCUGGCAGCGAAUGAAUGAGCAGAGGAAAGACAAGAUGCAAGUUUCACUAAUUUUUAAUUCAUGAACAAUAUUUGGACUACUUUAAGCACAAUAACUGUUACCAGCAACA